rnacentral:rRNA from 1 species
AAUUGGAGGGCAAGUCUGGUGCCAGCAGCCGCGGUAAUUCCAGCUCCAAUAGCGUAUAUUAAAGUUGUUGCAGUUAAAAAGCUCGUAGUUGAAUUUCGGGAUCAAUAUUUCGGUCAUGCCGUUGGUAUGCACUGUUAUCAUUGAUUUCUCACCUUCUAAAGAACCGUAAUGCCAUUAAUUUGGUGUUACGGGGAAUUAGGACUGUUACCUUGAAAAAAUUAGAGUGUUUAAAGCAGGCUAACGCUUGAAUACAUUAGCAUGGAAUAAUGAAAUAGGACAUCCGAUUCUAUUUUGUUGGUUUCUAGGAUCGAUGUAAUGAUUAAUAGGGAUAGUUGGGGGCAUUAGUAUUCAAUUGUCAGAGGUGAAAUUCUUGGAUUUAUUGAAGACUAACUACUGCGAAAGCAUUUGCCAAGGAUGUUUUCAUUAAUCAAGAACGAAAGUUAGGGGAUCGAAGACGAUCAGAUACCGUCGUAGUCUUAACCAUAAACUAUGCCGACUAGGGAUCGGAUGAUGUUAAUUUUUUAAUGACUCAUUCGGCGCCUUACGGGAAACCAAAGUGU